UACGGGGGGUGCAAGCGUUACUCGGAAUCACUGGGCGUAAAGCGCAUGUAGGCGGCCUAGCAAGUCAGGUGUGAAAGCCUAGGGCUUAACCCGGGAAGUGCACUUGAAACUGUUAGGCUAGAGUUCCGGAGAGGAAAGGAGAAUUCCCGGUGUAGUGGUGAAAUGCGUAGAUAUCGGGAGGAAUACCGGUGGCGAAGGCGGCCCUCUGGACCGAAACUGACGCUGAGGUGCGAAAGCGUGGGGAGAAAACAGG
rnacentral:rRNA from 1 species